GGUCAUAUGAAUGGGCCAGAAGGGAAUCUUGAGACACCCCCUCGCCUGCCAUGAGCCAUCGCCAAUACUCACCUAUUUUAAGAGGUGCCUUGGAUUCAGAUUCAAAGGAAUAAUUCUCCUGUAGAAAUGGCAGACCAAGUGAAAGGAAAAGUUGCUGUGAAGGCCAGGCAAGUGCAAGACGUGACAGAUAAGCACAGCGAUUCUCUGUCCAUGUGCAAAUCACAUUAGUCUCUGGGCUCAGGUUUGCCAAGAAGAACUUAGACUGAAGUUAGAAGGAAUUUUAAAUCUCAUCUGUAAAAUAACUAAGAAUGAUAUGGACCUCUUGUAAACUGGGGAUAUUUUUUCAUUCCAAAUACUAUGCCUGGUUGUUGGGUUUUUUUCCAGUCAAUCUUGGUAAAUUUAUUUUAUUAAUCUUUUCAAAACACUAACUUUGAAGUGGUUUUGUUCUUUUAUUGUUGUUGUUUCUUUUGUUUGGUUGUUUUUGUUGUUGUUG
rnacentral:lncRNA from 10 species